rnacentral:rRNA from 1 species
CCUAGGGUGGCAGCAGUGGGGAAUAUUGGACAAUGGGCGAAAGCCUGAUCCAGCCAUGCCGCGUGUGUGAAGAAGGCCUUCGGGUUGUAAAGCACUUUCAGUGGGGAAGAAAGCCUUGGGGCUAAUACCCUCGAGGAAGGACAUCACCCACAGAAGAAGCACCAGCUAACUCCGUGCCAGCAGCCGCGGUAAUACGGAGGGUGCGAGCGUUAAUCGGAAUUACUGGGCGUAAAGCGCGCGUAGGCGGUCUGAUAAGCCGGUUGUGAAAGCCCCGGGCUCAACCUGGGAACGGCAUCCGGAACUGUCAGGCUAGAGUGCAGGAGAGGAAGGUAGAAUUCCCGGUGUAGCGGUGAAAUGCGUAGAGAUCGGGAGGAAUACCAGUGGCGAAGGCGGCCUUCUGGACUGACACUGACGCUGAGGUGCGAAAGCGUGGGUAGCAAACAGGAUUAGAUACCCGAGUAGUC